UGUCCUUAGUUACCAGCACGUAAUGGUGGGCACUCUAAGGAGACUGCCGGUGACAAACCGGAGGAAGGUGGGGAUGACGUCAAGUCAUCAUGCCCUUACGGCCUGGGCUACACACGUGCUACAAUGGUCGGUACAGAGGGUUGCCAAGCCGUGAGCUGGAGCUAAUCCCAGAAAACCGAUCGUAGUCCGGAUCGCAGUCUGCAACUCGACUGUGUGAAGUCGGAAUCGCUAGUAAUCGCGAAUCAGAAUGUCGCGGUGAAUACGUUC
rnacentral:rRNA from 1 species